UGCAGCGAAAGUAUUGGGAGCAAACAGGAUUAGAUACCCUGGUAUUCCUCCCCCUAAAUGAUGUCAACUAGGUGUUGGGUGGAAAUCUACCUAGUUAUGCCAUAACGAGCUAAGUUGUCCCCCUGGGGGUUCCGGUCGCAAGAUUAAAACUUAAAGGAAUUGACGGGGACCCGCCCAAGCCGUGGAUUAUGUGGAUUAAUUCGAUGCAACGGGAAAAACCUUACCUACCCUUGACAUGGUUGGAACCCUGUUGAAAGGUGGGGGUUCUUCAAAGAGAAUCAUCCCCCCGGUGUAUCAGGGCAGUAGUUUUCUUUGUGUCGUGAAAGGUUGGGUUAAGUCCCGCAACGAGUGCCACCCUUGUCAUUAGUUGAUCAGCAAUUCCCCCAAAUGAGAAAUUCCGUGACAAACCGGAGGAAGGGGGGGAGGACGUCAAGUCCUUCUGGCCCUUAUGGGUAGGGCUUUCCACCUCAUUCCAUGGUGUGAACAGAGGGGUCCCUUCCCCCGCCGGGGAGCUAAUCCCCGAAAGCCCGUCCUUAUACGGAUAGGUGUUUGGAUCUCGCGUUUUUGAAGGUGGAAUGUCUAGGAAUUUAGGAUCAGCAUGCCCGGGUGAAUACCCUCCCCAGUACUGGUCCCACCGCCCGUCACACCCA
rnacentral:rRNA from 1 species